AGCGGGCGCAAGCCUGAUCCAGCCAUACCGCGUGGGUGAAGAAGGCCUUCGGGUUGUAAAGCCCUUUUGUUGGGAAAGAAAUCCAGCUGGCUAAUACCCGGUUGGGAUGACGGUACCCAAAGAAUAAGCACCGGCUAACUUCGUGCCAGCAGCCGCGGUAAUACGAAGGGUGCAAGCGUUACUCGGAAUUACUGGGCGUAAAGCGUGCGUAGGUGGUCGUUUAAGUCCGUUGUGAAAGCCCUGGGCUCAACCUGGGAACUGCAGUGGAUACUGGGCGACUAGAGUGUGGUAGAGGGUAGCGGAAUUCCUGGUGUAGCAGUGAAAUGCGUAGAGAUCAGGAGGAACAUCCAUGGCGAAGGCAGCUACCUGGACCAACACUGACACUGAGGCACGAAAGCGUGGGGAGCAAACAGGAAUAGAUACCCUGGUAGUCCACGCCCUAAACGAUGCGAACUGGAUGUUGGGUGCAAUUUGGCACGCAGUAUCGAAGCUAACGCGUUAAGUUCGCCGCCUGGGGGAGUACGGUCGCAAAAUGAACACAUCAAAAGGAAUAUUUGGCCGGA
rnacentral:rRNA from 1 species